rnacentral:tRNA from 2 species
ACCCCUGUAGCUCAGGAGGAUAGAGCACUGGUUUCCUAAACCAGGUGCCCCGGUUCGAAUCCGGGCAGGGGUA